GGGUUGUGAGGUUAAGCGACUAAGCGUACACGGUGGAUGCCCUGGCAGUCAGAGGCGAUGAAGGACGUGCUAAUCUGCGAUAAGCGCCGGUAAGGUGAUAUGAACCGUUAUAACCGGCGAUUUCCGAAUGGGGAAACCCAGUGUGACUCGUCACACUAUCAUUAACUGAAUCCAUAGGUUAAUGAGGCGAACCGGGGGAACUGAAACAUCUAAGUACCCCGAGGAAAAGAAAUCAACCGAGAUUCCCCCAGUAGCGGCGAGCGAACGGGGAGGAGCCCAGAGCCUGAAUCAGCAUGUGUGUUAGUGGAAGCGUCUGGAAAGGCGCGCGAUACAGGGUGACAGCCCCGUACACAAAAGCGCAUGUGCUGUGAGCUCGAUGAGUAGGGCGGGACACGUGGUAUCCUGUCUGAAUAUGGGGGGACCAUCCUCCAAGGCUAAAUACUCCUGACUGACCGAUAGUGAACCAGUACCGUGAGGGAAAGGCGAAAAGAACCCCGGCGAGGGGAGUGAAAAAGAACCUGAAACCGUGUACGUACAAGCAGUGGGAGCACAGGUUUACCUGUGUGACUGCGUACCUUUUGUAUAAUGGGUCAGCGACUUAUAUUCUGUAGCAAGGUUAACCGAAUAGGGGAGCCGGAGGGAAACCGAGUCUUAAUUGGGCGUUAAGUUGCAGGGUAUAGACCCGAAACCCGGUGAUCUAGCCAUGGGCAGGUUGAAGGUUGGGUAACACUAACUGGAGGACCGAACCGACUAAUGUUGAAAAAUUAGCGGAUGACCUGUGGCUGGGGGUGAAAGGCCAAUCAAACCGGGAGAUAGCUGGUUCUCCCCGAAAGCUAUUUAGGUAGCGCCUCGUGAAUUCAUCUCCGGGGGUAGAGCACUGUUUCGGCUAGGGGGCCAUCCCGGCUUACCAACCCGAUGCAAACUGCGAAUACCGGAGAAUGUUAUCACGGGAGACACACGGCGGGUGCUAACGUCCGUCGUGAAGAGGGAAACAACCCAGACCGCCAGCUAAGGUCCCAAAGUCAUGGUUAAGUGGGAAACGAUGUGGGAAGGCCCAGACAGCCAGGAUGUUGGCUUAGAAGCAGCCAUCAUUUAAAGAAAGCGUAAUAGCUCACUGGUCGAGUCGGCCUGCGCGGAAGAUGUAACGGGGCUAAACCAUGCACCGAAGCUGCGGCAGCGACACUGUGUGUUGUUGGGUAGGGGAGCGUUCUGUAAGCCUGUGAAGGUGGCCUGUGAGGGUUGCUGGAGGUAUCAGAAGUGCGAAUGCUGACAUAAGUAACGAUAAAGCGGGUGAAAAGCCCGCUCGCCGGAAGACCAAGGGUUCCUGUCCAACGUUAAUCGGGGCAGGGUGAGUCGACCCCUAAGGCGAGGCCGAAAGGCGUAGUCGAUGGGAAACGGGUUAAUAUUCCCGUACUUGGUGUUACUGCGAAGGGGGGACGGAGAAGGCUAUGUUGGCCGGGCGACGGUUGUCCCGGUUUAAGCGUGUAGGUGUGUGUUCCAGGUAAAUCCGGUUCACUUUAACACUGAGGCGUGACGACGAGGCACUACGGUGCUGAAGCAACAAAUGCCCUGCUUCCAGGAAAAGCCUCUAAGCAUCAGGUAACAUCAAAUCGUACCCCAAACCGACACAGGUGGUCAGGUAGAGAAUACCAAGGCGCUUGAGAGAACUCGGGUGAAGGAACUAGGCAAAAUGGUGCCGUAACUUCGGGAGAAGGCACGCUGACACGUAGGUGAAGUGAUUUACUCAUGGAGCUGAAGUCAGUCGAAGAUACCAGCUGGCUGCAACUGUUUAUUAAAAACACAGCACUGUGCAAACACGAAAGUGGACGUAUACGGUGUGACGCCUGCCCGGUGCCGGAAGGUUAAUUGAUGGGGUCAGCGCAAGCGAAGCUCCUGAUCGAAGCCCCGGUAAACGGCGGCCGUAACUAUAACGGUCCUAAGGUAGCGAAAUUCCUUGUCGGGUAAGUUCCGACCUGCACGAAUGGCGUAAUGAUGGCCAGGCUGUCUCCACCCGAGACUCAGUGAAAUUGAACUCGCUGUGAAGAUGCAGUGUACCCGCGGCAAGACGGAAAGACCCCGUGAACCUUUACUAUAGCUUGACACUGAACAUUGAGCCUUGAUGUGUAGGAUAGGUGGGAGGCUUUGAAGUGUGGACGCCAGUCUGCAUGGAGCCGACCUUGAAAUACCACCCUUUAAUGUUUGAUGUUCUAACGUGGACCCGUAAUCCGGGUUGCGGACAGUGUCUGGUGGGUAGUUUGACUGGGGCGGUCUCCUCCUAAAGAGUAACGGAGGAGCACGAAGGUUGGCUAAUCCUGGUCGGACAUCAGGAGGUUAGUGCAAUGGCAUAAGCCAGCUUGACUGCGAGCGUGACGGCGCGAGCAGGUGCGAAAGCAGGUCAUAGUGAUCCGGUGGUUCUGAAUGGAAGGGCCAUCGCUCAACGGAUAAAAGGUACUCCGGGGAUAACAGGCUGAUACCGCCCAAGAGUUCAUAUCGACGGCGGUGUUUGGCACCUCGAUGUCGGCUCAUCACAUCCUGGGGCUGAAGUAGGUCCCAAGGGUAUGGCUGUUCGCCAUUUAAAGUGGUACGCGAGCUGGGUUUAGAACGUCGUGAGACAGUUCGGUCCCUAUCUGCCGUGGGCGCUGGAGAACUGAGGGGGGCUGCUCCUAGUACGAGAGGACCGGAGUGGACGCAUCACUGGUGUUCGGGUUGUCAUGCCAAUGGCACUGCCCGGUAGCUAAAUGCGGAAGAGAUAAGUGCUGAAAGCAUCUAAGCACGAAACUUGCCCCGAGAUGAGUUCUCCCUGAGACUUAGAGUCUCCUGAAGGAACGUUGAAGACGACGACGUUGAUAGGCCGGGUGUGUAAGCGCAGCGAUGCGUUGAGCUAACCGGUACUAAUGAACCGUGAGGCUUAACCUUACAACGCCAAAG
rnacentral:rRNA from 1 species